AGAGGGAAUGGCCUCAAGCUGUGACUGGGUAGGUUUAGACUAGAUAUUAGAAGAACUUCUUUCCCAGCAACAGUGGUCAGGCAUUGGAAUGGGCUGCCCAGGGGAAGUGGUUGAGUCCCCAGCCCUGAAUGGUGGUAUGGAUGUGGUGCUUGGGGAUGUGGUUUAGAGCAAACCUCAUAGAGCAGGGUCCUUGGUUGGACUUGGUGAUCCUGAGAGUCUUUACAACCAGAAUGUUUCUGUGAUUUCUGUAAGAUGUAGACCACAUUAAUUCUGUCACAGAGUGGGAUGUUUUCAAGCUGCCCAUGCUGUGUGUGCACCCAAUCCAUUUCCAUGGCCAUCACAGCCACAGGUUAGGCAGGGUGCACCUGCACACACACUACCUUUGAUAGGGCAGGAACCAUCCUGUGGGGCUGGUACUUGCCUCAUUUGUUGCUCUGCCACGCAACUCUGAGUCACGGUCCCCUGUGGGUGGAUGUAGGUCAUCUGAAAGGCUUAGCUCUUACAGGAGUCAAUGAAAUUCUUAACUGCAUUUUUAAAAACCCUUACUUUUUAUUUCUUUUGUGGAGAAACAUCCUAUAUCAUUAGCUCUCAACCUAUAUCAGUCUAAUAAAGGCAAUUAGUUUUUCCUGUGGCAGCAGGCCUGCUCAGUAUUUGGCAGCUGCCCUUGGAGCAUACCCUUGGAGCAGAUGGCUGCCUGCCUGCCAAACAAGAUACAAAUUGGAUUUCCAGAUGAUUGAGUGAUGGUGGCAGGAAAGCAGCCGUUCAUCUGGGCUCCCUCUCUGUCACAGAUCAGGUUCAUCAGCACCAGCGUAGCUGCUCACUGUCAUUGCACAGCCGGGAGAGCAACGGACAGGCCCCACUGGGAGGAGGCCUGAAUCUCACCGAGCUGAAUAACAUGCGUGGAAACCCUGACGUAGACCACCAGGGUGAACUGGUGCUCUGUGCAGAGCUGGAUGAGUGUUCAGAGAUGGUGGAGGGUCAGUGCACUGGGACAGAGCCUGGCUGCCCACUCUGCAGGGUGAUCUGUCACCUAAAAUACCUGGGAGGUUACUUGCUUGGCUGACAGGCGUUAAGGUAGAACAUCACAAGGAAACGUAUAGCCACGCUCUAGAAGACAAAAGAAGCAUUAAUUAGGACCAGCUUUUCCUGACCAUGUCAUUUCCACAGCAAACCCCAGACUGGAGAUAUCCCAGGGAUUGAAAAUGCUGACUGCAGCACGGAGAGAAUCCUACAGAUUUGAAUCAGAUUCCAGAACUCAAAUGGUCAGUCUUAAGGUGCUUUGAAAAAGCCAGUGCUCCUGGAUGUUCUGCUGGAGGGAGAGGAGUACCUAAGCUCUGUGUGAGAUCUUCCCCUGCAAGGACCUCAGCGUGGGUACAGAAAAGGACUGGGUCAAAAGUACAUGGAUGCAUUGGUGGAGAGCUGUAUGGAAAACAUAGGUUAAGAAUAGUGGUAGUCCUGAAGCUAUAUAUUGGGGCAUGCCGCUUGCAUUGUGGUCUGGUGUCAGCUACAGAAGAUGCGUACAGAAAAUGGACUUGACAGGCUUUCCUCCUCUGCUGUCACCUCACCUACUUCCAAGCGGAGCAGUUCUUUAUUGUGCACACUGCUGAAACAGAAGGGGAUGGAACAUGGUGUAUGCAUAAAAAUUCCAUAGGGUGCAACUGCCAUUAAACUGGUCCUAGAUGAA